rnacentral:rRNA from 1 species
AACGCGAAGAACCUUACCUGGUCUUGACAUCCUGGGAAUCCCGUAGAGAUAUGGGAGUGCCGCAAGGAACCCAGAGACAGGUGCUGCAUGGCUGUCGUCAGCUCGUGUCGUGAGAUGUUGGGUUAAGUCCCGCAACGAGCGCAACCCUUGUCCUUAGUUGCCAUCAUUCAGUUGGGCACUCUAAGGAGACCGCCGGUGACAAACCGGAGGAAGGUGGGGAUGACGUCAAGUCAUCAUGGCCUUUAUGUCUAGGGCUGCACGCAUGCUACAAUGGUCGGUACAAAGGGCUGCAAUACCGUAAGGUGGAGCGAAUCCCAAAAAGCCGGCCUCAGUUCGGAUUGGGGUCUGCAACUCGACCCCAUGAAGUCGAAGUCGCUAGUAAUCGCAGAUCAGCAACGCUGCGGUGAAUACGUUCCCGGGCCUUGUACACACCG